UGGGGAAUUUUGGACAAUGGGGGAAACCCUGAUCCAGCCAUCCCGCGUGUGCGAUGAAGGCCUUCGGGUUGUAAAGCACUUUUGGCAGGAAAGAAACGUCGCGGGUUAAUACCCCGCGAAACUGACGGUACCUGCAGAAUAAGCACCGGCUAACUACGUGCCAGCAGCCGCGGUAAUACGUAGGGUGCAAGCGUUAAUCGGAAUUACUGGGCGUAAAGCGUGCGCAGGCGGUUCGGAAAGAAAGAUGUGAAAUCCCAGAGCUUAACUUUGGAACUGCAUUUUUAACUACCGGGCUAGAGUGUGUCAGAGGGAGGUGGAAUUCCGCGUGUAGCAGUGAAAUGCGUAGAUAUGCGGAGGAACACCGAUGGCGAAGGCAGCCUCCUGGGAUAACACUGACGCUCAUGCACGAAAGCGUGGGGAGCAAACAGGAUUAGAUACCCUGGUAGUCCACGCCCUAAACGAUGUCAACUAGCUGUUGGGGCCUUCGGGCCUUGGUAGCGCAGCUAACGCGUGAAGUUGACCGCCUGGGGAGUACGGUCGCAAGAUUAAAACUCAAAUGAAUUGACGGGGUCGAUANCUGGUUUU
rnacentral:rRNA from 1 species